rnacentral:rRNA from 1 species
AUGUGCAAAAUUAUCUGUUCGUCGGCGUCCCUUCAAGGCUUCAACAACCCUUCGGUAGGGUUCCGGCGACUCCGGAUGGCCGGUCGCCACCGUAACCCGCUGCCUUCUUCCUUCUCCCGCGGCGCCGGUGCCGGAAACCACCCGCACCCUCCUCCGCCCCAUCACCCUCAUCUCCCGCCUUACCACCUCGACGAAUUCCGCGAGCCGCCGCGCCUCCCCCCGCACCACCUCGAUGACUUCCGAGACCCGGCUCGCCUGCCACCAGGCCACCCCGACAGCCUCCGCGAGCAUCCUCCGCCGCCGCGCCACCACUUGGCGGGCCACGGCGGAGGGACCCUGCCCCCAGCAUCGCACAUGGCCGCGGCGCUGGAGGAGCGUAUCGGCGCGGAGAUUGAGGAGGCGCACGCGCUGCUCGGACAGAACCAGCGACUCUCUGCGACGCACGUGGCGCUCGUGCAGGAGGUCUCCGCCGUGCGGCACGAGCUUGGCCACACCGCUCGAGCCAUCGGCGCCGCCCAGCAAGAGGGAGAUCUCCGUAUUCGCGAGGUCUAUGAGAGGUUAAUGAAAAUGGAAGCAGAGCUCCGAGCAGUAGAGGAGAUGAGAGCGGAACUUGCACAUGUUCGUAUGGACAUUCAACAGCUGGGUGCAGCAAGACAGGAACUCAUGGGUCAGAUCCAGGGAUAUACACAAGAUUUGGCUCGUUCAGCAGUAGAGUUGCAGCAGGUGGCUGCAGUGAAAGCUGAGACCCAAGAACUCAGGCAUGAAACACAGCAUUUAAGAUCCAGUAUUGAGCUUGAGAAGAAAGGAUAUGCAGAGAGUUAUGAGCAGGGACAAGAGAUGCAGAAGAAAUUGGUCUCAGUUGCUUCUGAAGUGGAGAAACUUCGUGCUGAGGUUGCUAAUGCUGAGAAGAGAUCACGAGCUGCUGUAUCUGCAGGCAAUCAAGGUUACGCUGGAAGCUAUGGAAAUCCUAAUGCCAAUUAUGCUGCAAAUCCUUACAAUGCUGGAUACAGCAUGACUCAAGCAAAUGCUACUGAUUCUGGUUCUCAGUAUGGGGCUGGGGCAGCGCAUAGUUCCUGGGGCGCCUACGACAUGCAAAGAGCUCCAGGACGGAGAUGA